UACAGAGGGUGCAAGCGUUAAUCGGAAUUACUGGGCGUAAAGCGCGCGUAGGCGGCUGUCUAAGUCGGGUGUGAAAGCCGCGGGCUCAACCUGGGAACUGCAUUCGAUACUGGACGGCUAGAGUAUGAGAGAGGGAGGUAGAAUUCCACGUGUAGCGGUGAAAUGCGUAGAUAUGUGGAGGAAUACCGGUGGCGAAGGCGGCCUCCUGGUUCAAUACUGACGCUGAGGUGCGAAAGCGUGGGGAGCAAACAGG
rnacentral:rRNA from 1 species